GAAACGCUCGUAGUGGGGUGGCAACACUGCUGAGUUACAGUGGUCCCAAAUGCACGCCGCUACCGAGACUUGCAAUCAGAUCCAUCCAAUUUUUUAACAUCACCAUCAGGAUAACUUCUAAAAUAAAGAAAACCUCCAACAGGAAAUCGGACUGCGCUCUUCCACCAAACCCUAUAAUUUAUAACAUAACUUCAGAGACCAUCUAAAAUGAAGAAAACCUCCAAAAGGCAUAUUCAGUUGCAUAGGAUUGCAUUCAAUGCCCAUAUAUGCAGUUUCAGUUAUUUCAUGAUUUUGCAAGAAACAAGAGUUUAUUAGAAAAUAUACCACUAAAGAAACUGCCUUCCCUUGGGAGAAAGACUACAGGAACCAAAAGGCAUGUAGCAUACAAGGUAGCAGAAACAUCAGGUCAGAGGGAUGCCAGAGCUGUUGUAUCCAGAGCAGCAGAAUCUACCAGAGGGAGGCCAGACUGGAAGACCAAAGGACAAGAGCUACAGCAUCCACAGCAGCAGAGGAAGGCCAGACUGGUACUACCUAGAUAUGAGGGUAAGAGCAGCUGCACCCAGAGCAGCCAAAGAACAGGAACAAAGGGAGAUCAGGUUAUGACAGGUGAAGGCGACAGUUUCAGGAGCCAGAACUCUAAGGCAUUUCACAGCUUUGAAAAGAGCAGCAUUUAAAUACAGGUCAUUUGUUAGCUGUCACGAGCACCUUCAUGUUUCCAUUGGAAAGUUGGAUGUAGUUUGUCAGCACUGUAACACUCAGUGGAAAGAAACAGCUCCGGAACAUUAAUGCAGCAAUGGAAAGAUCUCUCUUCCACCUUUGGUCAGUCUGUCCGAUCCACUGCAAUCGCUCAUGUCUGGAGAUAUGGUCAGUUCUUUGCAUUUCCUUGACAAACAUUCAAAAGUACAACCGUUUCCGAACUACAUUAUUUAGUGCAAAGAAUUUAUGGGCCAGGUCAAAUGCCCACCUUCAGUGUUCAAGUUCAGGUUUACCAUGCCUUCAGAUCUUUGUUGCUUUUGCCAGAAGCAGACCCCAAGUUUCUUUUGAGCUACUUCACAGGUUAUGCAGGUGCGGGGGUCUAAAUGAGACCGCUACAUAUUGGGCCUUAAGGGAGGCAUCGUUCUAGAACUCCAGAAGUUCCUUCAUAGGCAGCACGACUACAUCACCAUCUUCAGAAAAGUUUUGGAGUUGCCCACAAAGAACCACAAGAUCAGGCCAGAGAAGAAGGCUGAAGGUGAGCACGAAAAUUGUUUCAAUGUCCCCACCUUUAAUAAAGGGCCUGUGGUGAAGGUCAGCAAUUACUUUUAGCCCUGGGAGAGAGUGACAACACCCACAGGUCCCACAACUCCUUGCAGUAUCAUCUGAUCUUCAGGCAAGGUGAGGGCAGCUACUACUACAUUCCUCCCCCACAAGUACUACGACUCCCUGCAGUGUUGUAUCCUCUGAUCUUUUGGCAAGGGGUUACUACUACUACAUUCCUCGCACCAAUCUAGAAACUGGUGGAGGAAAAAAUUAUCGUAACAAAACUACAUUGCUUGCAGAAUCAUGUUGCGUGCCAGGGACGAGAAACACCUUUUGAUGUACAGGAUGUUGUUUCACUAGUGUAUUGUGGAUGUAUGUCAGUAUUGUAAGGAAGAAGUUUCACUACAUUUGGACCCACAGCAGGAGAGUGAGCCACCGACUACAUCCACCUCCAAGAGACCAUCGCCAGCGACGCUAAUCCAAGGGAGUUGGGGAAAGGGGAUAAUCUUAACCUCAAGGGUCAUUGGAAGUCCCAGGCACAUGAAGAGUGCACCAAAGGUGCAAUGAGUUAUUAGGAAUACGAACGCCCAGAUCUCUCAUCGUCUUCACUUUCAACCUGAAAUGGUGUGAAAUUCUGAAGCAGCUGAUUUUUGGCUGGCUGUCACCUUCCCUCAGCUAUAACUUCAUUGCCAGGCACUUCAAAUGGAAAUUGGCCAAGAUGAUCAAUGGCAAAUUCAAAUCACACAUCUUCGGAGAAACUUAGUGCUGUAUGUAUACCAUCAGGUGGCAGAAGUGCAGCCUUCCCCACCCCCACAUGCUUUCCCAGAACAGUCAGUCCAUCGACAUCGACAAAGUGAUUAGAACAAAGAUUUUAGAUCCACAAGAAGAUCCCCUACUCAAAGCUGUCGUCAACCAAGGAUGUGAUCCAUGGUUCCUGCAGCAAUCUCAACUCAAUUCAACAAGCAGGGUUGAUAGAAACUGUUCAAAGUUUUCAAAGGAACUCAUCAGCAAAACUGAGACAGGAGAUGACAAUACUUGCUGUACAUGCUAUACCAAAGGUGAAAACCAGGAGAUGGCGGGUGUACGGCAAAGAUCAAUAAUGCAGGUCAAGGUGGGCAACAGAUGGGUUGUGCUGUACAAUUUGCUCCUUUAAAGCUGUUCCAAGCCCACAUCAAUGUUGAGUGGUGCAAUUCAGUGAAGUCUUAUGUACAUCAACAAGGGAAGCAACCAAGCCAUGUUUGACAUGAGAUAAACCAGCCCAUCCAGAAGUGCAGGUCUUCCAACUCAGCAGGUACAUCUGCAGUAGUGAAGCUGUAUGAAGAAUUUUGCACUUCCAGACUCACAACAAGUACCGGCUGUGCCGAAGCUCAAGUGUUCAAAUGAAAAAUGGUCAGAGUCUAUACAAACUGGCUGGAGGAAAUGCAGGUCCCACCCAUGACCACCUCGAUGGCCUUCUUUGAGGUAGGUCAGGAAGACCACUUCGUCAAGUACUACACACUUGAUAUUCUGGCACCAAAACUUCAGGAGGUGAAAGCAAGACAAGGACAUCCAACGCUUACCCAGAAAUCAAAUCCACAGACACCCUGGGACGUUGUUUACACAGUCCAUCAUUCUAGCAUUGAGUGCUUCUACUUCAGAAUACUUCUGCAUGUUGUUUGGGGACCUACAUCCUUCGGGGACCUACAUCCUUCGCGAGCCUGAAAUUUGACUUAGGGGGGCCAGUGAAAGGUGCGGUUUGUGGAGAGCAUCCAGAACCGGGACCUUGGAGAGCAACCAGAACUGGGACCUCACCCUGGCUGAAGCUGCUGUGUUGCAGAUGCCGAGGAAAAUCUGGCAUGUGAAAGGUGAAGUUUGUUAAGAGAGCGACCAUAACUGGGACCUCAUCCUGGCUGAAACCACACUGUUGCAGCUGCCAAAGAAGAUUAGACACCAUUUUGCUCAUCACCCGUCAGCUUUGGGAAAAUUACGGGAUGAGCAAAGACUUUCUUCACCAAGCGAGGAGAGAUAAUCCAACCCCUGACCUUUGACUUCUGCGAUGUCAUUUAUGGUAAGAUGCAGACGUUAGAGUGUGUGUCUGGCUAUCUUUGGGAAAACCCUGAAGAUUUAUGGCUUGCCUUGCCUUCCUGAUGAUGAACAUCGACCAGUUGUGCCGAGAGGUUCUUCGCUAGACCAGCUACAUCCCUGACGACCUAGCCCAGUUUGUAUGACAAAAAAGGAACCCUGCUGAUGCCAGACCAGUAGAGCCUAUGACACCAUUCUGAACACAUUGACUGCCAAACGGGCAGCCUGAUCUACGUGGAUGCUCGUGGCAGAACUAGAAAAACAUUUCCUUAUCAGUGUACAACGCCAUUCUGAAUACGUUGACUGCCGAACGGGCAGCCUGAUCUUCAUGAAUGCUCCUGGCAGAACCGGAAAAACAUUCUUUAUCAAUCUUAUUCUGGCCAAAGUUCAUCAGAAGAAAAAAAAAAGUGCAUUCGCUUCCUCUGGAAUUGUGGCCACACUACUGGAUGGAGGUCACACUACCCUGCUCUACUUUGAAAUUGCCACUGCUGAGAGGCUCUUGUGUGUGACAUUUCCAAGGGCAUGGUCCACGCCAAAGUAUUCUGGCAGUAAAGCCUCAUCAUUUGGGAUAAGUGCACUACGGCCAACAAAAGAGGUAUCAAGACUUUGGACUUGAUAUUGCAGAGCAAGCAGUAUACAUCAAGGGGUGGACUUUGA